rnacentral:rRNA from 1 species
UACGGAGGGUGCAAGCGUUGUCCGGAUUUAUUGGGUUUAAAGGGUGCGUAGGCGGCCUAUUAAGUCAGUGGUGAAAUCCUGCAGCUUAACUGUAGAACAGCCAUUGAUACUGAUGGGCUUGAGUUCAGACGAGGUAGGCGGAAUUUAUGGUGUAGCGGUGAAAUGCAUAGAUACCAUAAAGAACACCGAUUGCGAAGGCAGCUUACUAGACUGACACUGACGCUGAGGCACGAAAGCGUGGGGAUCAAACAGG